GCCAUUUAUAUUAUCUUUUACUGUAAACUGGUCAAGUAAGGAAUUACUUUCUUGAUCUUAGUAAAAUGAUAGUAACACUAUUAGGCUCUGAAGGCCUUUCUAUCAAGGCAGUGAAGGGAUUUGAGAUGGGAGGGUGACUCAGUCUCAGUCAGACUGAGAAAUUGACCAAAUGACCCUAGUCCUUGGGCAUGCAGGGAAUCCUCACCCUAAAGAUGGAUCCUAUGGGUAGAUUCUAUAAGAAAUGUAAAGAAAGUGCAAAGUGGUGGUUCCUGAGAAUAAGGACAUGGACCUUACUUGGAGCUGAGGGUGAACCCAGGCAUCGGGGAGAUGGGGCCAGGCCUGGCUAAGAGGCCUGAAAUCUUCCUUCCUGGUCUCCUGAAGCAGCUUUCCUAACCAGUGCUGCAGAGGUGGGAACCCACCUUGGGGCCCCGGGGGCUGGGUGCCCCAGGGGGCGUGUCAGCCGGCCUUCCUUCCUUCUUCCUCUGCCUGGGCUGGCAUCUCCAGACUGGGGCCCACUAGGAGAAUGCUUCCCUAACAACAUGUGGUGAGCAUCUUUAAAGUUUUGUUCCAAUACCCAAUCUCUUGUGGACGAUAUUCUGUGACAUACAUGAAAAAUGAUUUCCUAGAAAAAUAAAAUACAAGAGUCACAUAAAAUAGAAGCUGAAGUUGUUUAUUAGGAGAAUCAAUAGACAUAGAAUUCCUAUGUCACACUGCAGUAAGUUUCUAAAUGCUACUGAAAUUUUGUUCUUAAAAGUAGUUAUGCUUUAAGCAACAGGGCUUUAGAACAGAUAUUAUUUUCCAUUUCCCCCUCUUAGAACAGAUAUUAUUUUCCAUUUCCCCCUCUUUUAUUUCUCAUCGCCUUUGCUCCAGCUCCCCACCCCAGAGCUGAACCAGUCCAUUUAUUCGGCAACGUUUGCUCGUGCCUUCCCCUCCCACAGACGGUCUAUGAGGCCACUUUAUAAACAGAGGCCCUUACCCACACGGGAUGGAGAGGAAGGGAACAUAGUGGAAAUACGGCUUUUCUUUUUUCUUUUUGCUUUGACAUUUAUCUGCCCCAUUUCCUGACCCCAGAAUCUUAUUUUCGUCAUGAUCUCGCAUUGUUGAGUUUUCACAGAGUCCUGAGAGGCUUACACCUAACCGAGAGAAAGUAUAUUUCCAAGAGGAACAUUUAGACCUGAUGUUUUUAUGUAAAACCCUUGGCUUUCAUAUGUAAAAUUAUGGGACUUUUUUUUUUUUUAAGGUGGUUAAUUCCACCAUCAAGUAGAUUGUACUUACUUGAGUUCAAACAGCUUUAAAAAAAAAAAAACCUGGGUGUUAUACGCAAACAAUGAAUCAUGGAACGCUAUUAUCAAAAACUACUGAAGUACUACUGUAUGGUGAUUAACAUAACCUAAAGCAAAAAACAAGAGAAUGUGAAAGUCACUCUCUCUCCCAUGAAGUCCACAGAUAAACCGCUGACUCCGAAGAAGAGCAGAAGACUCCUCAUUUGUUCUUCUCCUGGGGUGGACUCUGCAGGGAUGAUUUCCGACCUCACUGAGCGAUAGCUUGUCUCUGUCUGUCUCUCAGGAUAUGUUUCUGGAGUCCAUGGCAUCAGUCAGCUGCUAAAGGCAUUUCUACGGAAGACAGAAUGUCAUUGUCAGAUUCUAAGUCUUGGGGCUGGGAUGGAUACCACCUUCUGGAGAUUAAAGGAAUCCUCACAACCCCGUGAAGUGCUGUCACUUUCUCUACUGUGCAGAUGAGGAACGCUUGGCCCAGGGAGUUUAGUGACUUCUAGCGCCUCACAGCAGACACGUGGUGGAGCUGGAAUCUGAAGCCCAUUCCCCAGCUCCAGAGUGCCGGCCCUUUCCCCCCCCACCGUGCUCUCCUCUCACACUAAAAUAAAUGUGCUUUUUAGUUGCCGUCUGGCAUCUGAGGCUGUGCAUCUGCAGAGGACAUCCUAGCUUCUUGGAACCCCGAAUGAAAAAGAAGUCAAACCUUUCCUAUCACAACCCAUUAUAGAAUUACAUUCAGAGGACCCACUUCAAAU